rnacentral:tRNA from 1 species
GUUUAGAUAGCAUAGGAGGCCCAAUGCUAUAGAUUUAAAAUCUAUAACCAUGAGUUCAAAUCUCAUUUUAAACA